CCUACGGGUGGCUGCAGUGGGGAAUAUUGCACAAUGGGGGGAACCCUGAUGCAGCGACGCCGCGUGAGUGAAGAAGUAUUUCGGUAUGUAAAGCUCUAUCAGCAGGGAAGAAAAUGACGGUACCUGACUAAGAAGCCCCGGCUAACUACGUGCCAGCAGCCGCGGUAAUACGUAGGGGGCAAGCGUUAUCCGGAUUUACUGGGUGUAAAGGGAGCGCAGACGGCUGUGCAAGUCUGGAGUGAAAGGCGGGGGCCCAACCCCCGGACUGCUCUGGAAACUGUAAAGCUGGAGUGCAGGAGAGGUAAGCGGAAUUCCUAGUGUAGCGGUGAAAUGCGUAGAUAUCGAGAGGAACACUCGUGGCGAAGGCGGGUUCCUGGACAUUAACUGACGCUGAGGCACGAAGGCCAGGGGAGCAAACAGGAUUAGAUACCCCUGUAGUC
rnacentral:rRNA from 1 species